UACGUAGGGGGCUAGCAUUGUCCGGAUUUAUUGGGCGUAAAGAGCGUUUAGGCGGCCAUGUAGGUCCGGUGUGAAAACUCGAGGCUUAACCUCGAGAUGUCAUCGGAAACCAUUUGGCUAGAGUCCGGUAGAGGAGCGUAGAAUUCCUGGUGUAGCGGUGAAAUGCGCAGAUAUCAGGAGGAAUACCAGCGGCGAAGGCGGCGCUCUGGGCCGGUACUGACGCUGAGACGCGAAAGCGUGGGUAGCAAACAGG
rnacentral:rRNA from 1 species